rnacentral:rRNA from 1 species
CCUACGGGUGGCAGCAGUGAGGAAUAUUGGUCAAUGGACGAGAGUCUGAACCAGCCAAGUAGCGUGAAGGAUGACUGCCCUAUGGGUUGUAAACUUCUUUUAUAUGGGAAUAAAACGUUCCACGUGUGGGAUUUUGUAUGUACCAUAUGAAUAAGGAUCGGCUAACUCCGUGCCAGCAGCCGCGGUAAUAAGGAGGAUCCGAGCGUUAUCCGGAGUUAUUGGGUUUAAAGGGAGCGUAGGUGGAUUGUUAAGUCAGUUGUGAAAGUUUGCGGCUCAACCGUAAAAUUGCAGUUGAAACUGGCAGUCUUGAGUACAGUAGAGGUGGGCGGAAUGCGUGGUGUAGCGGUGAAAUGCUUAGAUAUCACGAAGAACUCCGAUUGCGAAGGCAGUUCACUGGACUGCAACUGACACUGAGGCUCGAAAGUGUGGGUAUCAAACAGGAUUAGAUACCCCAGUAGUC